UAAGAGUUAGUUUAAGUAAGAAUUGUUAACUGUUAAUUAAAAGGUUUACUCUUAAU
rnacentral:tRNA from 1 species